GACAGAGGGUGCAAACGUUGUUCGGAAUUACUGGGCGUAAAGCGCGUGUAGGCGGCCCUGCAAGUCGGGUGUGAAAUCCCACGGCUCAACCCGGUGGAAGUGCACUCGAAACUGCAGGGCUAGAGUCCUGGAGAGGGAAGGUGGAAUGCGUUGGUGUAGAGGUGAAAUUCGUAGAUAUCAAGCGGAACACCGGUGGCGAAGGCGGCCU
rnacentral:rRNA from 1 species